CAUACACCACACCAGCAGUAAUAAACUCACUUUUACAAAGAUGUAGGCUAUAGAUGCUGGGUUCAGUGGUUCUAAUCAGAUUGUGUUUAUGGAUUUUUACAAGAUCAAGGUCACGGUGGCCACCAGAUCCAGUCUGUAUCCAGAUCAGAGGGUCACUGCAGUCACCCGGAUCCAGUUCGUAUCCAGACCAGAUGGUGGAUCAGCACCUAGAAAGGACCUCUAUAUCCCUGAAAGACAGCGGAGACCAGGACAACUAGAGCCCCAGAUACAGAUCCCCUGUAAAGACCUUGUCUCAGAUGACACCGGGUUUCACCAACCUGGUUUCUCCCAAAGUUUUUUUCUGCAUUCUGUCACCGAUGGAGUUUCGGUUCCUUGCCGCUGUCGCCUCUGGCUUGCUUAGUUGGGGUCACUUCAUCUACAGCGAUAUCAUUGACUUGAUUGCAAAUAAAUGCACAGACACUAUUUAAACUGAACAGAGAUGACAUCACUGAAUUCAAUGAUGAACUGCCUUUAACUGUCAUUUUGCAUUAUUGACACACUGUUUUCCUAACGAAUGUUGUUCAGUUGCUUUGACGCAAUGCAUUUUGUUUAAAGCGCUAUAUAAAUAAAGGUGACUUGACUUGACUUGACUUAAUGGCUGCUUCAGAUUCAGCUUUGCCAUCACUGGAAUAAAUUACAUUUCAAAAUA